rnacentral:rRNA from 1 species
GACGUAGGGCGCGAGCGUUGUCCGGAGUUACUGGGCGUAAAGGGCAUGCAGGCGGUCGGACGCGUUUCGGGUGACAGCGGGUGGCUUAACUACCCGAGUGGUCGAAAGACGGUUUGACUUGAGGACGCGAGAGGGACACGGAAUUCCGGGUGGAGUGGUGAAAUGCGUAGAGAUCCGGAGGAACACCGCAGGCGAAGGCAGUGUCCUGGCGCGUAACUGACGCUGAGGUGCGAAAGCCAGGGGAGCGAACGGG